rnacentral:lncRNA from 1 species
UGCCCUGUGCGUGAGCAGCUGCAGCGGCAGAGGCAGCAUCCAGAGGUGGCGCCAGCAGUUCCAGCCCGUUGCUUUACUUUUUGCUACACCGACAUAGCCACUAUGCAGAAGAGAAAGUCUCCAGAGAAUACAGAGGGCAAAGAUGGCUCCAAAGUAACUAAACAGGAGCCCACAAGAUGGUCUCCCAGAUUGUCAGCAAAACCUCCUCCACCAAAACCUGGACCCAAACCAAGAAAAACAUCUGCUAAGAAAGAACCUGGAGCAAAGGUUAGCAGAGGUGCUAAAGAGAAGAAAGGAAAAGUAGGAAGCUGGAAAGGAAGGCACAGAAAACUGAAUCUGGAGAUAACCAGGGAGAAUAAAUUGUCAUGAAAAACAGGUUAAUUUUAUGUAUCUCUUAGGUGAACUUUUAAAAGCUGUUUUUACUAAGUAUUUUCUAAAUGCUAAUUUUUUAGGACUCUACUAGUUGGCAUACAAAAAUAUGUAAGGAUGGACAUUUUACCCUCUCAUAAUCAUGCUUUUUGGACAUUUCCAUCAUCCUCAAGUAAAAUAAAUAUCAGUUUAAUAUUG